ensembl:ncRNA lncRNA:CR44258 long non-coding RNA:CR44258
AGGAAGCGGAAAAGGUCCUGCGGCUCACGUUCAGGUGGCACCAUAAAAGCCAGUGGGCCAAAGUGGAAAAUGGAAGCGAAAAAGCGCGCGGCAGCAAUAAAAAUAAUACAUUUAUCAAUCAAAACUCCAAUGAGAACUUGGCCCCAAAGUUGCAGCAUAAAAAUAUUCAUUCUGGGAAAGAAGCGGGAAACCAUUCGCUUAAUGGCUUCCAUUUUGCCAACUCAACUCAACGAGCCACAUGGUGCAGAGGCGUCGUGGCAAAUCAGCAACGAUGAAAACGGAAGAUUAUUAUUAUAUUGGUUGUUCAAAAGAGCUUAGUAAUAUAUAGAACAUAUUUAGGCACCAAGAACUCCCGAAAUGGUUUUGAUAAGCAUUCACUACGCCACUGGAAGGAGCGUGGCGAUGCGCUGGUGUGGGCGGUGGGAAUGGGAUGUUACAGGAGCAGUGGGGACACGAGUAGGACGUGCACGAAAUGCGCAAGUUCACGCACGUCAGUCGAAUUGGAGGUACCCACUAAAAUGUGGGUCAAGGAAGUGGAGCUGCGUGCUAAUGCUAAUUUCGGAAUGCCCUUUGUUGCCGCAGCAUCGAGAACUCAGUUCAUUAAGAAGCCCGCCCUAUAA